AACGAACGCUGGCGGCAGGCCUAACACAUGCAAGUCGAACGCCGUAGCAAUACGGAGUGGCAGACGGGUGAGUAACGCGUGGGAACAUGCCCUUUGGUUCGGAAUAACUCAGGGAAACUUGAGCUAAUACCGGAUAAGCCCGAGAGGGGAAAGAUUUAUCGCCGAAGGAUUGGCCCGCGUCCGAUUAGCUAGUUGGUGAGGUAACGGCUCACCAAGGCGACGAUCGGUAGCUGGUCUGAGAGGAUGAUCAGCCACACUGGGACUGAGACACGGCCCAGACUCCUACGGGAGGCAGCAGUGGGGAAUAUUGGACAAUGGGCGCAAGCCUGAUCCAGCCAUGCCGCGUGAGUGAUGAAGGCCCUAGGGUUGUAAAGCUCUUUCGCCAGGGACGAUAAUGACGGUACCUGGAUAAGAAGCCCCGGCUAACUUCGUGCCAGCCGCCGCUGUAACAC
rnacentral:rRNA from 1 species